ACGUAAGGGGCGAGCGUUGUUCGGAAUUAUUGGGUGUAAAGGGCGCGUAGGCGGUCUGGCAAGUCUGGAGUUGAAGGCUACGGCUUAACUGUAGUUUGGCGGUGGAAACUGCUGGGCUUGAGUUUAGGAGGGGGAGCUGGGAUUCCAGGUGUAGGGGGGAAAUCUGUAGAUAUCUGGAAGAACACCGUUGGCGAAGGCGGGCUCCUGGCCAUAGACGGACACUGAGUCGCGAGAGCGUGGGGAGCGAAGAG
rnacentral:rRNA from 1 species